rfam:Geobacillus sp. WCH70, complete genome.
AUGAGAACAAGGGGAGAGACUACGUAAUGUAGCGCCGAAGGAGCAAGCGGAAACGCGAAUCUCUCAGGCAAAAAGACUCUUGUUUGACG